rnacentral:rRNA from 1 species
GACGGAGGAUGCAAGUGUUAUCCGGAAUCACUGGGCGUAAAGCGUCUGUAGGUGGUUUAAUAAGUCAACUGUUAAAUCUUGAGGCUCAACUUCAAAAUCGCAGUCGAAACUAUUAGACUAGAGUAUAGUAGGGGUAAAGGGAAUUUCCAGUGGAGCGGUGAAAUGCGUAGAGAUUGGAAAGAACACCAAUGGCGAAAGCACUUUACUGGGCGAUCACUGACACUGAGAGACGAAAGCUAGGGUAGCAAAUGGG